UUAAUACAAGAAAAUAACUACAGGUGCUUGAAAUUGAAUUCAGUACAGAGACAUUUAUUUGAAAGUUUAAAUAUCAAAUGACAUAAUAACAAAUAAAAAAAGGCAAAUAACAGAGACACGCCUAAAACAUCAACAUAUACAAUGCUAUUUGUAUAUUGCAAAUCAUAUUCCGAUAAAAACUGUUGGUUAAUGACAAAAGAUAUUAGAAUGACAAUGGCGUUAUAAUAUGGAAAUCGUUUUACUAGCUUAAUCAGGAGUGGUUUCAAUGUGACUCUACUUUAAUAUAUAUUCUUCAUAUAGAUAGAAAACCUAAGUGAAGGAAAACGUUUGGGCGUUGAAACAAAUGUGGUGCUUUACCUGUCUGGAAAUUAUGGAGCGUGCAAACUGACGAAAUAGUUCAAAGUGAAGUACAGAACAUUCAUAAAGACACAAAUCACAUCUCCAGCUUUUGACCAAGUCCGUUGUCUCCCGACAGUAUGACGGAAACAAAUACUACUAGUAUUACAUGUGAAUAUCGUGCUAAUUAUACCUGUUGGAAGGAAUCAGCAGACGAAUUCAACCGGAAGUGGGCAAACCUGAUGAUUCCGGUAGAAAUCAUGAUGUGUUUAUUUAUGAUUGCUGCAACAUUGGGAAACGUUUUAGUGUUGGUUGUGUAUUCCUACCGACGUCACAAAACAACGGCAAACAUUUUCAUCAUGUAUCUAGCUGGCAUCGAUCUCACGGCAUGUGUUGUUUUGCAUCCAUACAUCAUAUUCAAGCUGUUCAACAAUUAUGACCAAACUUGGACAGGAGUUUGCAAAUGCUUUGAAUAUUUCAUUCAUUGCAGCUUGACGUUGUCUGGCUUUAUGUUAUUUCUGGUCGCUGUUGACAGAUAUUUAGCAAUUUGCCGCCCAGUGAAAUUUCUUCUUUUUGACAAACACGUUGUGAAAUUAAUUGCGUCAAUGACAGUAGCGUCGGUGAUCAUUAGCCUGCCAAUCUUAGAAUUCUAUGGGGCAACUCCGGAAGUAUCUGAAUUUAGCUCUUCGUUUACUGGUUAUAAGUGUCAUUUGAGAAAACAGUAUCAGAAUUCAGCACUUCUGACAGCAUUUGGGGCAUUUAUCAUGUGUGGAUUUCUUUUUGAGAUCAUACUGCUGGCGGGUUUAUACAAGAAUGUGGCUGUGACCGCAUAUCGGAGCAGGCGUGUCGUACCGGCAUUAUCAAAUGCUCAUGUUCUAGCUGGAAUAAAACCUUCAUCUUCAAACACCGAUACUCAAACAUCAUUUCUAAACAGAGGGCCAAAUAGUAGUGGUAUAAGCAGCUUGUCUGCACAGCAAAAUCCUCAACAAAAUGGACCAUCAUUUGAUGGUGUAUUCCGCAAUAGAAAUAGAGAAAAUAAAUAAAAUUAUUUACGUUUUUCGCUGUUACUAGUAUGUGGUUGCUAGUCUAUUUUUUUCAAGGUUUGAUAGUUUCGCGCUUCUUUGUUUCGAUUGAGCGAUUUUCUAUAGCGUUAUGUAUUGGGGAUUUCGCCUUUGUCAAUCACUCGAGGCUAGGUAUUUGGCAGUUACACACCGAAGUUGUUUUUGUUGCAUACUAAAUGUCGGCCGAGGAAAAUUCACCACGCCGAAAUUCUCGUCGCUCACCAGAUAGAAAUCGUCAUUCAGAAUCUGAGAUUUUCAAUGAGCUGAAAGGUUAUUUUGACGACAAGUUCGACACCCUGAAAAGAGAUGCGGAGUGGAUGACGGACACAUUUGCAAAAAAGGUAAAGAAAGAUCAUUCUUUAUCUUUUAAAAACUUUGCUAACAAAAGACAAUACGAAUUCAAUAUCACGUUGUUAGAUAAUGUAGAAAGCAUUGAGAGAGCAGUUAAUUUGAGACAAGCAGACAAGGCGCUAAAAUUCACUGAAGAACUUAAAACUGCUAUUGCCCACAGGAAUAAGGUCAUCCGUAUUGCAGAUAGUUCGGAUGCAGGCUGGGCUACCAUCGCAGAAUAUGAAAAGCUUGAUGUCGCAGACAAUUCCGAUGAUGAUCGCAAAAUCCGGCGCGCAGAGGAGCGUGCUAAAAAGAAGCUUGAAAGUAAAAAAUCUGUUAACAUGUCUUCUGAUACUUUUCGUUCCUCAACCUUUAAAAGCAGGUUCAGCAGAUCGUCCAUGGACAAGCAGCCCUUGGGAAAGCGCACCUUCGAUCGCAACUUCCAGCGUGAAGUCGUCUGCUACAGAUGCGGGCAAUUGGGGCAUUUUGCAAACGGAUGUGCCAGUGGAUAUCCAGAACCCGUCGGCAAUACCAGACAGGGACCAGUGGCUACCUCAGAUUCAGCACAGUCAAGUAAUUCCGAACUUACCACCAAACAGUAAACCAGACGACUUUUCAACAGAUGAUAAGACUUUUUAAAUCCAACAGAUGGGAUGAUGUUAUGGAUAAAUGUAGUAAUCCGGCUCUGCCCUCUUGGAUGUUUUCAGAAGUGAAAGAAGCUGUUUUAUCGAGCAAGGAAAAGUCUACCUGAGAUUUAAAAGUAUUCAGCCUCUUUUCAAUUUCAAUACACAAAUCAGUACCUUUGGAUUUAUUUCAACGGGGAAUUAAUACAGUUUAAAGAUGAUUCACUUGGCAGGACAAGUGUUGGACAAUGAUGGAUCGAUUUGUGAUUUACCGUGUAUUGUGAGGAAUUUCCAAGAUCGAUCAUUACUUAUUAAAGAUGUAUCUCUACCUUAUAAAGAGUAUGCGAAGAUGGACUCAACAAACAAAGAUAAGUGUUUAGAUUUAUAUGUUGAUCAUGGGCUGUACUGUGAUCGUGUCAUUUAUAGCGCUGACUAUCAAUAAAAUUGUGGCUGUGCCGUUAUGUGGCGUUGGCCGUUGAUCGAACUGUGGUCGUGCCGUUUAUGGCGUUGACCGUUGAUUGCUCUGUGGUCGUGCCUUUUGUGGCGUCGACCGUUGAUUGAACUGUGGCCGUGCCUUUUGCGGCGUCGACCGUUGAUUGAAUGUGGCCGUGCAGUUUGCGGCGUCGACCGUUGAUUGAACUGUGGCUGUACCGUUUUUGUGGCGUUGGCCGUUGAUAAAACUGUGGUCGUGCUGUUUAUGGCGUUGACCUUUUAUUGAACUGAGGUCCUGUCCUCUAUGGCAUACUGUGGUCACGCUGUUAAUGACGUCGACCCGAUUGAACUGUGGUCCUACAGUUCGUGGUGUAGAACGUUGACUGAACUGUGAUCGUGCUUUUUGUGGCGUUGACCGUCGAUUAACUGUGAUCGUGCAGUCUGUGGAGUUGACCGUUGAUUGAACUGUGAUUGUGGCGUUGACUGUUUAUUAAACUGUGGUCUUGACGUUUGUAGUGUAACUGUCGAUUGCAAUAUGAUCGUGCCGCUUAUGGCGUUGACUACCGACUUAACUGCGAUCGUGCAGUUUAUGGUGUUGAUCAUUGAAUUAUGGGAGCGUCGCUUUUGUCGAUGAAACUUGAGUUAAUUAUACUUGCGUUGCCUUUUGCGUUCGCCGUCUAUUGAAUUGAAAUCGUGUCUGUGAUAUCGGUUUUGAGCGGUGUUCGUGUCGUUUAUGGCGUUGACCUUUGACAGAUCUGUGUUAUUCGCCUUUCUUUGACAUUAACCGUUGAUUGAUUUCUGGGCGUCUCUUAGUAUCGAGUUGACUGUUAAAUGAACAGGGAAUGCUUUAUUUGUGAUUAAAUAUGUUCAUUUGUUACAGGUUUAGAUGACACAUCUUCAGUCUCAUUUCGUUUUAUGAGGGGUUGUCUGAAAUUCCAUCUUUUGCAUAGAUCGUUUUCCAUAUCUACCAUGCGGAGAAUGUAGAACAUACGUACUCAAUAAGUAUCAUUUUUUUCCAUAAUAAUAGAAAUAAUAUUUAUCACUAAAGUAGCUUUCCUCUUGUAACGAUUAAAUUGGUCGGUCGAUUAACAUGUUUUUAUUUUUCAUCAUCUUAUAAAUUACUUAUAAAAAACUUAGUAACUUCUUAUAAAGUAAGUCGUUUAUAUUUAGAUUAAAAUCAUUUACCUUCUUUGUUUGCUCGAUUGAAAUGCUGCCAAAUACUAAUGCCUGUUACCUAAAACCUGUUGUUGUUGUUGUUUUUGUAGUAUAGGAACACGAAAUUAGUAAAUAAUUGAUUUACUCACAGUGAAAUGUGAGUAAAUAAAAUUAUUUACGUUUUUCGCUGUUACUAGUAUGUGGUUGCUAGUCUAUUUUGGGUUUUAAGCUAGUCUAUGUUUUUCAAGGUUUGAUAGUUUCGCGCUUCUUUGUUUCGAUUGAGCGAUUUUCUAUAGCGUUAUGUAUUGGGGAUUUCGCCUUUGUCAAUCACUCGAGGCUAGGUAUUUGGCAGUUACACACCGAAGUUGUUUUUGUUGCAUACUAACCCUCCCACCCUCCCUC
rnacentral:misc_RNA from 1 species